rnacentral:rRNA from 1 species
GACGAACGCUGGCGGCGUGCCUAAUACAUGCAAGUCGAGCGAAGUUUUUCUGAUGCUUGCACCGGAAAAACUUAGCGGCGAACGGGUGAGUAACACGUAAAGAACCUGCCUCAUAGACUGGGACAACUAUUGGAAACGAUAGCUAAUACCGGAUAACAGCAUUAACUGCAUGGUUGAUGUUUAAAAGUUGGUUUUGCUAACACUAUGAGAUGGCUUUGCGGUGCAUUAGCUAGUUGGUGGGGUAAAGGCCUACCAAGGCGACGAUGCAUAGCCGACCUGAGAGGGUGAUCGGCCACACUGGGACUGAGACACGGCCCAGACUCCUACGGGAGGCAGCAGUAGGGAAUCUUCCGCAAUGGGCGAAAGCCUGACGGAGCAACGCCGCGUGAGUGAAGAAGGAUUUCAGUUCGUAAAGCUCUGUUGUUAGGGAAGAAUGAUUGUGUAGUAACUAUACACAGUAGAGACGGUACCUAACCAGAAAGCCACGGCUAACUACGUG